rnacentral:rRNA from 1 species
CCAACCUGGUUGAUCCUGCCAGUAGUCAUACGCUUGUCUCAAAGAUUAAGCCAUGCAUGUCUAAGUAUAAACAAUUUAUACUGUGAAACUGCGAAUGGCUCAUUAUAUCAGUUAUAGUUUAUUUGAUAGUAUUUUACUACUUGGAUAACCGUAGUAAUUCUAGAGCUAAUACAUGCGUUAAUUCCCAACUGCUU